GGUUCGGAAUACAAUGAYGGAUGAUGCUUAUUUGUACUGCCCCUYGUCUUAUACAAGCGUUUGAAAGGGGYACCCAGCUGGAUACUUUGGUAUUUUGAUUGCUUCGUUGUGUUGCCUAUCAUUUUUAUCGUUGAGUGCUCCAAAAAUUUUACGGGUGUUGUGCAUGCCAAAGAGUCUUGGGAAGCCUUUCCUUCGUGCUUAUUAUUUAUAGCUCGGUUUUGCCACCACCUGUCUUAAUAAACGCCCGCACGUGUCAUGGAGUGUCUUCUUCUUUGAGGAGGAAUACAAAAUGUCACUGUGUAGGUGUUUAAAAGGA
rnacentral:misc_RNA from 1 species